rnacentral:misc_RNA from 1 species
UUGGUUAGAGCGCGCGCUUGAUAAGCGUGAGGUCGGAAGUUCAAGUCUUCCCAGGCCCACCAUUUUGAUCGAGUGCGGAGCAUUCGUCUUCUGGUACGGGGCCAUAGCUCAGCUGGGAGAGCGCGUGCUUUGCAAGCAUGAGGUCGUCGGUUCGAUCCCGUCUGGCUCCACCAGAUGGUUUGAUCACCAACGGCGUUACCGUCGUCCGCGAAACAUCACUUCGCACGCAUUGGUCCGGAUGGACGGUGACGUGCGUGUUUUCUGACAUCGUAAAGAGGAGAUCGAUCCGAGUUUGGAUCCAGCGAAGCAAUUCGCGGGUACCAUUCCUAAUCUCCAGAUCGUUUUCGGCGCUCGCGCAUCGCAGCUCAUCGCAAGAUGAGUGAGGUGAGCGAGUUGUAAAACGAUCUUUGUAGCGAAGCUUGACCGCCUCGCUAUCGGGCCGAUCUUACGAAGCAAGCUGGUCUUUCUAGUCAAUGUCCGGCUGCGCAAUCGCAUUCAUCGAGGAUGCGCGCCUGAGACUUCGGUCUUUGGGCAAUUGUGCAGACAACAUUCUGCCGAGUGUGUGGACAUUGAUAAUGAGAGCAAUCAAGUGCCUUAAGGGUGUUCGGUGGAUGCCUUGGCGCUGAGAGGCGAUGAAGGACGUGCUACGCUGCGAUAAGCCGUGGGGAGCUGCGAAGAAGCUUUGAUCCGCGGAUUUCCGAAUGG